rnacentral:rRNA from 1 species
UGAACGCUGGCGGCGUGCUUAACACAUGCAAGUCGAACGAAGCACUUUAUUUGAUUUCCUUCGGGACUGAUUAUUUUGUGACUGAGUGGCGGACGGGUGAGUAACGCGUGGGUAACCUGCCUUGUACAGGGGGAUAACAGUUGGAAACGGCUGCUAAUACCACAUAAGCGCACAGCAUCGCAUGAUGCAGUGUGAAAAACUCCGGUGGUAUAAGAUGGACCCGCGUUGGAUUAGCUAGUUGGUGAGGUAACGGCCCACCAAGGCGACGAUCCAUAGCCGACCUGAGAGGGUGACCGGCCACAUUGGGACUGAGACACGGCCCAAACUCCUACGGGAGGCAGCAGUGGGGAAUAUUGCACAAUGGGCGAAAGCCUGAUGCAGCGACGCCGCGUGAGCGAAGAAGUAUUUCGGUAUGUAAAGCUCUAUCAGCAGGGAAGAUAAUGACGGUACCUGACUAAGAAGCACCGGCUAAAUACGUG